rnacentral:rRNA from 2 species
GCGACCCCAGCUCAGGCGGGGCCACC